CAUUUUCCAAAGUCUGAGAAAUAACAAGGCCUCUCUCCGCAGACCCGGGCCUUACAGGUUUUCACCAGGUUGGUACUGGGGCUCUGUCGCGGUAAAGUAGUCUUCCAGGAAGCUCUGCAAGUACUCAAAAGUGGGGCGUUCUUCAGGGUCCUUUUUCCAGCAGUGGAUCAUGAGCUCAUGCAGAGAGAUGGGGCAGUCCUGCGGGCAGGGCAUCCUGUAGCCUCGCUCCACCUGCUCCAGCACCUCCCGGUUGUUCAUGCCUGCAAAGACAAGCGCAGUGAGAGUGGGCACCCCGGGGAUCCAGGCCCUGACCGCCGCACUUGCAGAUCCCCUUUCUUCUUCUUUGCGUCUGCAUGUGGCUAAAACAUGCGGAGUACUCCCAUCCCCCCAGGAGUCAAACCCUGCCAUGCUACUCAGGAGUAAAGAAGGAGUGCAGAACUGAGACAUGAAAAAUUCAGAAUGACUCUCAAAACAUGAUAAGUGAAGGAAGCCAGACACAACAGGCAACAUACGGUAUGAUUUCAUUCAUGCGAAAUUCUAGAAAAGGCGCAACUACAUCUAUAGAAAGCAGAUCAGUGGCUGCCUGGGGGAGGGGAGGAAUCCCUGCCAAGGGGCCAGAGGGAACUCCAAGUGGGAUGGGAAUGUUCUGUCAGGGUCAACGGGUCAACAAACUUUUCCUGUAAAAGGCCAGACAGUAAAUAUUUUUGGCUUUGCGGGUCACAUAUGAUCCCUGUCUUCUUCUUUUUAACAACCCUUUAAAAACGUACAAAACAAACACAGGUUGGGAGCCAGACCUGCCAACCCCUGUUCUAUAUUAUGUAUGGGGUGGUGUGACUGUUUAUGUUUGUCAAAACUCAAUAAACUGCAUCCUUAAAAUUGUUGAAUUUUAUUGUGUGUAGAUUAUACUUCAAUUAAACUGACAACAAUAUAUGAAUAAAGCAGACAAAAAAAUCCACACAGAAUGAAAGCAUGCUGCCCCUUGUUUAUAGCAUUUAUAAACUCCAUUUAUGAACUUCAUAAAUUCGUUUUCUUCAUGCCUGGGCAAACUCUUAGUUCCCCACUGUUGGAGAUCUGCCAUCAUGCCAGCGUGGCUGGGCACUGUCUGGCCCUGCAACCCCACAGUGCCCUGAGGUUUGGUGAAUUUGAUGGGGAGAUAGACCAUGUCCGGGGCCUAUCUCUACUGAUGACUUCAGCCAGGCCAUCCAUCAUUUGAGGUUUUUCUGACUCUUGGGAAGCUGUUGAAACACUGGGCUGCAUAGCACUAACAGAAGACAGAUCGCUAACUCCUCAGAGAGUGCGGCCUCCUGCACACUGGCUGCCUUAACACUACAGGAACUACCAUGCUUAGGGGGUGGCCAGUGUCCUGACCUCCUCCCAACUACUGCCAGCCACUAUUCUCUAGUUUUGCUUCCCUUUUUCAUUGUAUCACCUUCUGCCAGCUCCCCGUCAAGCUGUGCUGUGCUUUGGUUGCUUCCUGGCCGGUGAGGCUGUCAUCUGGAAUCCUCCCCAGUAUCUGACCCGGUUAAUUUGCAGGAGCAAGAACCCGAUGUCAAGCCAUAUAGAAACCAAGAUUUCUUCCCCUAUUUCCCAGGGCUACAGCCAGCAGGAGCACACACCAUAUGCAUGGAGCUUCCUUUACUUCUAGGGGAGGUGGCGACCCGUUAGCUAGAAACUUGUCAGCACAGCCAGAGGCGCUGGGCCAGAGCACAGCCUGUCCCCCUGCAGAGGGAACACUCGGACUUCGGGGUCUGUUGCCAGUCCUCUUGGUUGUGUUGUUACUUGUGGAGCUGAGUGUAUCCUGGCUCCUCCUGGCUGUCAACCACAGCCUGUCAGUCACAUGUCUCUCCAGACCUUUUCAGGAUGCUUUCUUAUUCUCUGCCAUUAUCAUUUCUUGAGGUAAUAAAAAUUCACAUAUUGUUUCUGCUGUACUGAAGUAGGCCUUCAAUGCAAUUAUUGUAAAAUAACCUCACUCACGUGUCAGGGCGACCCCUUAUUUUAGGGAGAGAGGUUUGGUGAAGGAGUCAGGGUCCCUGCCUCUGUGCCAUGCAUGCCUUUACCAGCGACUUCCUCAGUUGCAUGGGAGGAGUGAGAGGCAGCGCUGUGGCUAAUUAGCCUACAUCCUCCUCCAAUGGCUGAAAAUGGGGGAUGGGGGCGGGGAGCUGGAAGCAAGGGAGGAACUGGAGCAUGCUCGGGAAUGAAAGGCAGCCUCCUCCGGCUCUAGAUAAACGCGGACAGAGGCCAGCAUUUCCUUCUCCACAAUUCCACCAUCCAACGAGCUCUGAACACCAUCAAGUUUUUGUAACUCACUUGACUACAGAACUGAUCUGAACUGACCUCAUCUGGCCACAAAACCUGAACUGAUUACGAGGCUAUUUACUGUUUUUAUUUCUUCAUACAUAUUGCCCAGAAAGAUUAGGAAGAGUGUGUAAUCACGUAGCAGAACUGGCACUCUCCAAAGCAUUUGCCUUGCCGCAUCUUUUAGUACUGUCCUUGGUUUCAUAUUUCAGCAAUGACAGAGCUUGGACCAGCAGAAAUCUCCCUUGUCUCUGUCCCUUCCAGGAGUCCACAGGAACUGAGGGGAAACAGGCAGAAGGGCCUGACAGAUCCUUCUGGGUGCGGUUACAGCCCCUGAAACGCCUCCUAAUGCUUGACUCUGGCUCUGAGUGCCUCCCUCCAAAAUGGCAGCACAGAGUUUAAUUAAUCACUCUCCUAUUGCUCCACAGAGCGCAUGUCAGUACAUGUUUCAUUUCAUUAAAAAACAAACUACUCAAAUGGAAAGAUUUCACUUAAAAAAAAAGUUUUCAUCCAAUGUCUGCCAAUGGAAAGUUUAAUUGGCCACUGGGUCAUUUUUCCAGUGCUCGGUCCAAGCCUCAGACACAGCACACUUGGUGAUGUGAACCUCAACAUGUAGCGUCUCCCGAGGCAGUCUUUCCUGGGCAUUUGGAGCCAGGGGACAGGGCAUAAGCUGGCCCAUGCAGGGUCCUGGCAGACCCACAUGGUCAGGCUCCUUCUCGCUCUCCCCUUUCCUGUCUGCACCCCUCCGCUCUUCCCCACUCCUCUUCUUCUCCUGCUUUCUUCUGCCCAGACCUCUCAAAGCAAGGGGAGUAUAUGAAAACAAUUCCACGCACUGGGCCAAGUGGAAACAUACCAAUGAGGGCUUUGCCAGGAAAGUGGGAUAUUUUGACAAUGCACUUGGCUGACAAUGACAAUUGGAAUGGGACUAGCUCUUUUCCAACCAUCCAUAAACCAGGACCUGCAACGGGCUGACCUGCAGACCUGGCAACUUCACAAUGUACCUCUGCAACAAUAACGGUGGCAAUCAAGAUAUGCCCACUCAGCAAGGCUUGGGCUAGUUUUUAUUUUAUAAACAAUAGCUAAAUUGAAUGGAUUGUGUUAAUUCAGGGUGAGUAUCCCUUCUCUGAAAUGCUUAUGAUCAGGAGUGUUUUAAAUUUCAGAUUUUUUAGGAUUUUGAAAUAUUUGCAUUAUAGGGCUGCUCAACCAGUAAGUUGAGCAUUCCCUUUGCGUGUUAUGUCAGUGCUCAAGAAGCUCCAGAUUUUGGUGCAUUUUGAAUUUCAUAUUUUUGGAUUAGGGAUACUUAACCUGUAUUUAAAAUACAGUAUUCUCAGCUAUAUGAAUUUUGAAAAUCAUGGUUUUUUUAAAUAAUUUUUUUUAAAUGGCUUUUACUCUGCACACUAACAAAAAGAUAGGUCUACUUCAUUUUUUUCUUCUUAGAUGGUUUCAUAUUUUUGUUAGAAAGAAAACUGUCAUUUCCUCUUUUUAGCCACUUUUCCCCAAGACAUUGGCUUUACCUAAUACCUGAGAGGUGAAGGAUAGUGAAUAGGAAGGGAAUAAACACGAGUUUGGGCACCAGGGCAGUUGGGAGAGUGUCUUGAGAGACAUGGGUACACUAGAGAGAGGAAUCCUUUUAUUUUUUAUUUAUUUAUUUUUUUUUGAGAUGAAGCGUGGCUCUGUCAUCUGGGGUGGAGUGCAGUGGUGUGAUCUCGGCUCACUGCAGCCUCCACCUCCCAGGUUCAAGCAAUUCUCCUGUCUCAGCCUCCUGAGUAGCUGGGACUACAGGUGCAUGCCACUACACCUGGCUAAUUUUUUAUAUUUUUAGUAGAGACAGGGUUUCACUAUGUUGGCCAGGCUGGUCUUGAAUUCUUGGCUUCAAGUGAUCUGCCCACCUCGGCCUCCCAAAGUGCUGGGAUUACAGGUGUGAGCCACCAUGCCCAGCCAGAAGAAUCUUUUUAUUACACUUCCAACUGAGGAGGUGGACAAGAGUGCUGGAAAUGUUUUUCCUUUUUCUCCUUUUUUUUUUUUUUUUUUUUUUUUGAGACAGAGUCUCGCUCUGUUGCCCAGGCUGGAGUGCAGUGGCACAAUCUCGGCUCACUGCAACCUCCACCUCCCUGGUUCAAGCAAUUCUCAUGCCUCAGCCUCCUGAGUAGCUGGGAUCCUUUUUCUCCUUUCUUAACAGAAAGAAGAGACAGAAACUUUAUAAAACAUGGUGUCUGAGCACAUUUUAGGGAAACAAUGUCAUAAACAGUUUGGCCUUCCAGGUUUCCUAGUGGGAGCUGCAAGGGAGAGCAUUUUUCAACAGGAGGGGAGAUCCUGGCUGGCCAGUGGUGUCUGACUGUGGGAAGAGCCACGUUCGAGCAGUAUGAAUGUUCCCUGGUUCCCACAGAGAGGCGGCUUGGGGCUGGGGAGCCAGCAAGCACAGAGGCCACUGCCCAAUUUUGUUCCAACCCUCUCCUCCUCUGCUGUUCUGCCCUUCUAGCCUCACGGGAGCCACCAGCCCCUUCUGCUGUCUCUCUAGAAUUGCUCAGGAAAACAGGCCAUUGUGGUGGGUCACUUUCAUAGGGUACAACUGAACAGUACUCAAUCCAUAAAACACCUCCAGCACUUCGGGAAGCUGAGGCAGGCAGACCGCUUGAGCUCAGGAGUUCGAGACCAGCGUGGGCAACAUGUUAAAACCCUGUCUGUACAAAAAGUACAAAAAUUACCUGGGCAUGGUGGCAUGUACCUGUGGUCCCAGCUGUUCAGGAGGCUGAGGUGGAAAGAUUGCUUGAGCCCAGGAGGUUGAGGCUGUAGUGAGCUGAAAUGGUGCCACUGCACUCCAGCCUGGGUGACAGAGCGAGACCUUACUAGUCCGCUGUGUGGGGGUCUGCCUUCGAGUCCCUCUUUCCCAGAGCCUCCAUGGAACAUCUCCUUGUCAACUCAGAUUUUAGGCUUUCAAACAUGGUCCCCGACAUAGCAUCAUUUCCAGUCAGUCUGCCCCAAACACUGCAACUGAGAUUCUCCAGCCAAGAAGACUGUGCUCACUUCCUGCCAUUAUGAUUAUAUUAUCCUUUCUAAAUCAUGUUGCUGGCUUCCUCCAGCAAACUCAGAGGUCAAGUUUCCAACUCUCACUUUCAAACUCUGACUCUGUAGGGUUGCCAACAGUGUCUAUUCUUGUGUGUGUGUUUUCUUUUCCCUUUUCUUUUAAACUUCCCUAUUCCACUUCUUUGAGCUGUACAUGAACUCAGUAGUCUUCCCUUUUUCCUUUUAGAUUCUUUGAAAAAAAAUUUUUUAAGGGACAAGGUCUUGCUCUGUCACCCAGCCUGGAGUGCAGUGGCAUGAUCAUGGCUCACUGCAGCCUUGAACUCCUGGGCUCAAGCGAUCCUCCUCACACUUCAGUCUCCCAAGCAGCUAGGACUAUAGGUAUGCACCACCAUGCCUGGCUGAUUUUUAUUUUUAUUUAUUUUUUUUUUGUAGAGAUAGCAUCUUGCUAUGUUGCCCAGGCUGAUCUUGAACUUCUGGCCUCAAGCGAUCCUCCCUGCUUCAGCCUCCCAAAGCACUGGAAUUACAGCUGUGAGCCACUAUACCUGGUCUUCUUUUAGAUUCUAUAGGGAAGGAAUAAAAAUCACUUUCAUUGGCAGAGCACCGAAAUAGAUGUCACUUCUUGACUUCUAACUUUGCAUCUUUUAGCAAGUGACUUGACUUCCCUUGAACUUGGCUUCUCCAUUUGUUAACAAAAUACCUCAACAUUCAUUGUGCUUUCAGCUAUCUGAAAAAAUGUCUUUUAUGAAAGAAGAGUGUUUGUGUUUUAUAGCUUUCCAUUUGUGCAGCUUCCCAAUAUGGAUCUCAGAUGGGCCAUAUCUGUACAAUCAGGGAUUUUAAGUGUUACCCGUCCAUGUUUGCAUCUGGAUUUGACUAUGGGUUGCAAAACCUGGGUUUUUGUGCCAUGUGAAUAAUUAAGCACUUUAACAAUGGGAAUGAUGUUUAGAUUAUCAGAUACCCAAAUUCCUUUUGCUAACUGAGCUUUCCGUUCAAAGGGAAUCACACAACGUUGUGCAUAAGGCCUUGGGUCUGAGGCUCCCCUUGCUUCUGUGCAUAAAAGGCCCGGUGUUUACAUGUCUGUUGAGCAGUGCUGUGCUGGCGCUGGGAAGGAGGAGGGGUGUUAAUGGUGCUUGCUCAGCAUGAGCCUGCGCCAUCGCAUGUGCUUGUAUUAACAGAUUCUCAUGUGUCCUUGCUAUCGUACUGGUUAAUAACCGUGACACUGAGUUAGGUUUUAGUAUAGGAUCAUUGUGAAAAUUCUGGGCAGGGAGAUGCUGAUGGAAGAGUGUGGAUGAGAAUAAAGAACUUAUCUUGAGAAGGUACAAUAAUGACUUGCUUUGUUUCUCUUUCCUCAUCUUGCCAGAUAACCUCAGGACAGCUGUUUUUAUUCAGCCCAUUGUAUUAAUAAACACAGAAAGACAGCUACUCAUGUAACUGAAUACACAGGUAUUUCUGUAUUUGAAGUUGAUAAUACAGUAUCAUAGAGAACUCCUUUGUCCCAGAAAAAAAAAAAAAAAGGAGUGAAAAAGAGAGGCAGGGUGCCCAUGAGGAAGGCCCCGGAACUGCACCCCUGAGAACAAGGAGCACGUGAGGCUGGAACACAGGACUGGGGGCCGAAAGUCCCUCUUUGGCCACCCUCUUCACACGCAUUCUCCCCUGGUCUCCCUCCUCCUCUCACUAGACAUGCUGGCCAAGAGAAAUCUUGUAGAAGGAGGUGACAGCAUGACCUCUGGGCAUUCCAGGCAGGGUUCCCUCUCUGAGGGGACAUCAUGAGCUGCAGGAAAAACCCCAGGGACUGUGGACGAGCCAGGGAGAGACACGCACCCUCGGCUAAGAUGAGAGCUUUCAUUCGGCUUCCCAGUCUCCUCCUGGUUGGAGAGUCCUAACCCUUUCUUCUCCCAUGAAAAACCUGCUCCUGUUGUUAUGUUGAACACAAAGGAAAAUGUAUCUACGGUUCAGGGCUCUAAGGCAGAGGGAGGACCAGAGUGGCAUUUGGAAUCCUUUAAGGAAAAAGCCACCAGUUUCAUUAAUUUCCCUUAUUUCUUCAGGUCAUUAUCAAGCGACUAGAUGUAUUCAAGAAAGUCACCUGUUGAAUGAUUUGAAAGUGCUUCCAAUGAAUGAAUAAGUGUGGUUUGCUUAAGAAAGUGUUCCUGGCCUGGUGCAGUGGCUCACACCUGUAA
rnacentral:lncRNA from 10 species